UUUCCUCUCGAACGAACAGAGUGGCACGCUAGGGUUCACGUUCACCACCGUGCGCCGCCACCUAGACGCCGCCGCUGCCUACGGCCGGUCGACUCCCCCUUCCAAGGUCCUCGCUAUCUGAAUCCCGCCCCCACCCUUCCGCCCAUCGCAAAGAAUCCCGCCGCCCGACUUCAUCCGUCCGAGCUCAACCACGCCGCCCUUCUUGAAGCAGCAAGACCGCGCUGACGCUCCCGUAGAGGAUAGCGUGGUGUCAGGCUAGGCAUUUCGCUUGAUGAAUACGCGUUCUGCAGGUGGAUUCGUAGACCACCUGAUCCAAUUUCUUGGCCAGAGGAAACGCCCUCGAGGUGUUUGACAAAUUGCUAUCUAGCUGGUUUCGACUCUAGAGUUAUUCACCUGAACGCUCGCCUAGGCUGUCAUUGUCUGAAACUGCGUCGCUGGGGACGGACAAGAAGAGCAGAGAAGCCGCCGAUUCGCUUCCCUCCAUGCUUUCCGUGGUUGUGAGUGAGCUGUUUACGUACAUCCAUCCGAUCACCUGUUUCAUGCCAAUGUCACCUUUAGGGAUCAACUUGGGAAGACCUGCCAGCCAACUGUACUUUGAGGUGCUCUGUGCCAUCAACAAGAAGGUUCAAGAAAAUCUAGAGAUUAUUCGUUUGCACAAAGAUGUACCAGAAAAGGAAAGCAUAUAUGCGCUGUUCAAUUUUUUAACUCUCGAUGCUACCAUUGCCCAGUUCAUCGUGCAGCUGGAGGAAGUAUGUAUAUAUGACUCGCAUCAAUGUAAAUCU